CGAGUGACAGGGACAAGCCUAGCGCUAAGGCUCAGCAGGAUGGUCGGCAGCAAUGUCGGUCGUCUUUACCGGAAGGCUGCUGAGCGGUGCAGCGUUACAAACCGCGAUGUUUAGUAGUWCCAUUGGUAGUAAUGUUCGCAUUGCUACUCCUAGCCUAGCAUGCAAGUUCCAUUGACUUGGGCUAAUUGUAUAUGACCGUGCGCUUGGGGCAACUUGAGCGUGCGGUUGAGCCAGAGCGGGUGUAAGCCCCAUACCGUGCAGGCAUUGGUGCUACGAAUCGUGGCGCGGGGGUCCCUAUGUGGGCUCUCGGAUUUGUUAGAGUCGAGUUGCUUGAGAGUGCAACUUAAAGUGCGAGGUAAACUACUCGUAAGGCUACGCAAUACGGCUACGACACCGAUAGCAAACAAGUACCGUGAGGGAAAGUUGAAAUAGAACUUUGCAGAGAGAGUUAACAGGGCGUGAAACCGUUAAUUGGCAAACGAAUCGGAGCCACGAAGUCGUUUCGUUGUUUAGUUGUGCUAGGUUCAGUUGGCGAGCCAAAACUCGCCAGCGUACUCUUGAGUGCGACCAAACUUUGUAAGCGUACACUGCAACCAGUUAGACGAUUGGCCAUGGGCACAGUUGUAUCGUUGGGCCUUAAAAUCCGGCGAUGCAGCGCAGCAUUUGUUUAUCCAAGUUAGUAGUAGCGCAGCGUGCUUCGGUGCGUUUGUGUUGCUAAAUUUGGGUGAGAGAACUAUGGCCAAAUACUGACUGGCACAAUGAAAAUCGCGCUUUGCGCGUACUAUAAAAUGCAGCUGGCCACAUGGGUGUCUACAUCCGUAUCGGAUGUGUUUAAGCUCAGCACUUUUGAAUUCAGACUUGCAGGCUACCAAUGGGGCAACUCUUGGUGCCUGUAUAGCUCGGUCUAAUCGGGUGUUGACUUGGCAUAUCUGUAUGCGUAUGAAGCGAUUGGGCGCCCAUGCGAGCUAGUUCGCAAUGAUUGGCAGUGAGUAGGUCGGCUUUCCGAACGACCCGUCUUGAAACACGGACCAAGGAGUCUAAUUAGGCAUCGAGUCGAUCGGUCUUGAAUAGGCCAGACUGGUGGGGGCAACCCUGCCGAAUGAAGGCGUAGAGAAAUCAAACCAUGUGAUCGUGGCGGCAAUAACAGCCGUUGCGCGCAACAUGUGCCUGUUCGUAUAGCAAUGUUAGCAAUAACUUGCUGAGCGGAGCAAGGAGAUGCCUGAUUGGUACCCGAAAGAUGGUGAACUAUGCCUGGGCAAAUUGAAGCCAGAGGAAACUCUGGUGGAGGAUUGUAGCGAUUCUGACGUGCAAAUCGAUCGUCAGACCUGGGUAUAGGGGCGAAAGACUAAUCGAACCAUCUAGUAGCUGGUUCCCUCCGAAGUUUCCCUCAGGAUAGCUAGCGCUCGUUGUACUUAGUUUCAUCCGGUAAAGCUAAUGAUUAGAGGCCUUGGGAGCGAAACGCUCUCAACCUAUUCUCAAACUUUAAAUGGGUGAGAUGUGCGACAUACUUGAGUGAUGCCGCAUAUUUUAAGAAUAUAUUGGGCGCUAAGUGGGCCAUUUUUGGUAAGCAGAACUGGCGAUGCGGGAUGAACCGAAAGCGAAGUUAAAGCUGCCGAUAACAGCAGUGAAAAAUUUACUGCUCGCUACACUCAUGAGAUCCCAUAAAAGGUGUGACCCGCUGAAGACAGCAAGGAUGUGGCCAUGGAAGUCGGAAUCAUCUAAGGAGUGUGUAACAACUCACUUGCCGAAGCGCGUCGCCCUGAAAAUGGAAGCAGCUCGAGUGUUGAGCUUAUACUUCGCCGUUGGAACAAGGUUGUCUAAACAACAAUUAGCAGGUUCCAACGUGUAGGAGGGUUGUGUUGGUGGCGUUGAAGGGUAUGAGGGAGUGAUCCUGCCUGGAGCCGCCAAUAGUACAGAUCUUGGUGGUAGUAGCAAAUACUCAAGUGAGACCCUUGAGGGCCAAUGUGGAGAAGGGUUCCAUGCUAACAGCAAUUGAACAUGGGUCAGUCGGUCCUAAGAGAAUGGCGAAAGCUAUUUCUGAAUCAAAGACGGUGUAAAACACGCAAAGGUUUUACUAUAUGUUGGAUGUUGCACACUUGCCUGGCGAUCGAUGUUUGAAUUUUUUUAGCCCUACUGUACGCGACUUCAAUCGCAUACUUAGUACAAAAUUACGCUAUGACAUCGUWCCAAAAGUCCGGCUUGGGUGCGCUGACAAUGCAUCAAAAACAACACCGUAUGACUCGAAAGGGAAUAAGGUUAAUAUUCCUUAACCAAGAUGGGGAGAUUGUCGCUAGGUUGUGCUUCGGUAUGGUCUAGUCGGCAUUGGCGGCAACGCAAACAAGCGCGUCGACGCCGUCGGCAGAAUGGGGAAGAGUUGUCUUUUCUUUCUAAGUUUACUUAGUUUUCAACGAGUCCCUGGAAUCGAUUCACUCGAAGAUAGGCGACGUAGUAAACGUAAAAUCAUACGGUUCUAGUAUGAUCCCAAUUUCUGUUGACGGCC
rnacentral:rRNA from 1 species